AUAUAAAGCACAGCUCAAAGCCGCUCUCUUCACAGCACUGUGUGAUGAGUUCUCGCUCUUUGGCACUCAAGUUAAUAGAUGCGUAAGUCAGUUUUACUACUUAACCUGAGAUAAGUAAGUUUUUACUAAAUAUUUUAAAUGUAAAAAAUUGUGUUUGUGUUAAACAAUCGUAUUUUGUGUUUCUCUGUUUUAGGUGACAAAAUGUCUGGUAAUAUUUCUAUAAUAUCUGCAUGUGCAAACUGUCUCUCAAGUUUCUGUAAUAUUCAAAUACAUACUGACUUUAAUAUUACAGUUGCAAUUUCCAUAAACUGCAUGGCUUGUUGAAUGCAAAUUACAACUGGUGUGGAAUUAUUUAAUUAUGUAUGUGUAAAAUAUUAUAAAAAUGUAUGCAAUGGAAGUCGCUUUGGAUAAAAGCAUAUGGCAUCAUUUAUUAUUAUUAUUAUUAUUAUUGUUAUUGUUAUUGUUGUUAUUAUUUAGAAUAAUCACACAAUUUUGAAGUAACUUGCUUAUUGUAUAUUUUUACUGAUAUAAUAAUUAGUAAUUUCCUAAAUGUCUGACUGACAACUUCUUUUGCACUAAGUGAUAACGUAUAGAACCAUUGCAUUUUUGAUAUAUAUAAAUUUAUUCUCAUUUAUUCAAUCAAGAUUAUUUAUUUAUUUAUUUAUUUUAAAUGCAUUUUUUUUUUAUUUUGUAAAUGCUAGACUUAUUUUUUUACUUUGUAAAUGCUUGGCUUAUUGACUUAUUGACUUAUUGCUAAUUAUAGGCCUUUGUAUUUUCUGUAGGCUAACUAUACAUGUCAAGCAAUAAUUAUAAUUACAAUAUAAUAAUAUUAAUAAUAAUAAUAAUAGCAAUAACACAUUACUAUAUUAUUAUUAUUAUUAAUAGUAGUAGUAGUAUGUCAUUCUUUCUUUCUUUCUUUCUUUUGGUUGAUUCAGAUUGUUCAGCACUCUUCCAUGUGGUGUUUGUCUGCAAUAUUGUGAUUUUGUUCUUCAGUGGAAUCGUGAACAUAAUUCUAUGUGACAGACUGAGGAGAAAAAAAUGUGAACUGUGUGCUGCACAUCGGAGGAGGCUUCAUCUGGCUGUCCCUCAUCAACUAAACUCAGCAUCUGAUGAUCAAGAGAGUAUGGACCUUAACUACACAAUGCUACAGUUCCCGAAGACAACACGAAAGCAGCAAGCUCAGAGAAUGAGCAGAUAGAGAAGAGCAGAAGCAUCACAGUCUAUUCCAGCCUUAAAUAUCAAAUAUCAAACAUCACUGAGGAGAACUAAGUCCGAAUUUUCAGGUGACCACUAGACAUAAAUAUAUAUACAGAACAUAAAUCACAAAUGUAUUUAUGAUGUGGACAUAAUUGUGAAUUUUUACUUGUUUAUUCAUUUUUUAUUACACAAAUAUAUUGCUCCUCUUUAUUUGUGUCACUAUGAUCUUGAAUUUCUUCUAGUGGUUCCUCAACCAUACAUCAAACAGAUUCUUUAUUAGUAAUGUUCAAAUUCACAGUUGCAGCAGUAUAUGUAUACACAAUAAACAUAAAAAAUACACAAUACAAAAAUGUGCAAAUGAUGCAAAUAUAGACUACAUAGACAAAAUACAAGAGAACUAAACAUUCACUAGCCUAUGUCAAACAGUAAUUUUAAGUGGUUGUAUUUUCACCAUCUAAGAAAUCAACAACAUGUUGGGCCUAGCCUAUAUUCUGUAGAUUGUGUUUAAUACAUGUAUUUUAUUUCAGAUCGCUGCAUUUUCUACAUCCAGACUGCAGCAACUCUAUAUUCUGAAGAGCAAAUCAAUUUACUACGGAAAAAGUAGCUAACAUUUGCAGACAAAGCCUCUGAUUUGCGUGCAUGCAACCUGGUCUCAUAAAAAUACGUAGCCUACCUCUGUGCACUUUUUGUGCGACACCGUUUUACGUACCUUGCUGCACGUUUCGCCGCAGUUUGAAAUAGAAAUGUCCACUGAGUGGCGCUAAAACACAGGUUCAAUAUGUGAACCCUGGCACGUUUUUAUUACGUAGAUAUUGGUACGUAUUGCUGUUUUUUUAUUACGUUGCUUCAGAUUGUAUUGCGGCGGUUCAGAAUUCAAAUAUCCGGGGACUGUCGCUAAAGGUUAAUGCUCUAUCGUGUUGGCAAUAUGCCCUACACCAAAUCCAACCCUAAACCUACCCGAUAGUGUUAACAAAUGCAAUUUUAACUGCUUUGUCGAACCGUAGUUACACGGGAUUCGAACCGGUGCUUCUCCUCUCCUAAAUCCGUCGCCGUACUCCGUGAGCUACUGAACAAACUUGCUAUUUAUGAAAACCCAUAGAUACGAAGCUGGAUGUGUGCGAUGCUAACGUUCAAAAGCAUUAGUUUUCAAAUCUCCCAGCAUAUUAAUAUUGAUUUGAAGUCAUAGCAUGAUAUUCUUCAAGUAAUUGUGCGAAAAUUACGCUUUAUUAAUCGCAACUCUGUAAAUUUAUUUUGGAAACUGCAGUGAUAUGUACUUAUUGGUACGUAUUUCAUGUCACGCUAAAAAGUGCACCCAGGUGCGUAAAUGCCAUGAGACCAGGUAGAAAAUAUGCCAGCAUGCACGAUAAAACCAGGAAAAUGGCAAAGAAAUCCAUCGUGCACUGCCUACGCAAAAAAUGUUCUCCAUAAGUGUCGCUUCAGGGACUCCGUUAUUCGCACACUUCAUCUGAAUAUUUUGUGUACUAUGGCUAUGGUUGAACAAGAAAAAAUGUAAGUGUAAAAAGGCUUAUUGGUAAUAGGUUAUUGUACUUUUUUUUUUUUUUUUUUGCCUUUGUACGUUUUUGAUGUGGUAGGCACUUUUCCCCUCAGAUAUUGUGGUUGUUAUGAUGUAGGCUACCAGCAAAUGAAAACAGUUCUUUAAUAUGAAUAUAUAUAUCAUUUUAUGUGUUUAUAUAUACUGCAUGUGAGCAUAGUCUGCCAAUGUUAGUUGAUAUGUCCUCAAACACCAGACGCACCUUAUGAAGGGCUUACUUUAUUAAUUAUGUCUAGCUGUGUACUAUCACAACAUGAAAAACAAACAGAUUGAUAAAAUCAACCUUAUAUUGACAUUUCAAUAUUAAUAAAAAUGGUAUAUAGAUGGUGGAUUACACAUACUGUAUACAUGAUAUGUUAGAACUUUAAGGUCAAUGUGCAUAUUAAACAAAAAUGAAAAUUUGCUGAAAAUACUCACCCUCAGGCCAUCCAAGAUGAAAAUUAGUUUUUUCAUUGCAACAGUGUAUUUAGCAAUUUAUCAUUACACCAUGGCGUUUUCUCACUGAUGGAUUCUCUGCAGUGAAUGGGUGCCAUCAGAAAGAGAGUCUAAACAUAACUGAUAAAAACAUAACAGUAACAGAGAUGACUCCUGUGCAUCUUGUGAAGUGAAAAGCACCCAUUCACUACAAAGGAUCCACUGGUGAGCAAGUGAUGUAAUGAUAAAUUUCUCCAAAUCUGUUCUGAUGAAGAAACAAACGCUGAGUACAUUGUUGGCUUAUUUUCAUUUUUGGUUGAACUACUCCUUUAAACAUGAUAAUGCAUGUAAGGAUAUAAUCUAAUAAUAAUCUGCUUUAGUCCUUAUACAACAUGUCAGUAUAUAAAUUGUAACUAAAUAUAAUCUAAACAAUUUAUGUCUUAGAAAGCAGGAGUCAGAUUUCAGUGAACUAAUAUCAAAACAAUCUAAAGCAAAUAACUCAUAAGUAAAAGGAUUUGUAUGACCACACAUUCAUUUUGUUAAGCUAUGUAUUUGUCCAAGAUUGAUUAGUACAGUUCUGUACAUAUUUGUAUUUUUUUUAAUUAAUUGAAUUGAAUUGAAUUUUUUUUUUUUUUUUUUUUUAUGGAAUGAAAGGGAAGAUUGAGCUGGAAGCUUUUCUUCUGUAGAGUUCCAAAAAUACAAAUUUCUAUCCAGAUCUUCACAGUGCAGACUUCCAGCAGGACACUGGACCUCUCGUUCCACAGACUAGGCUUUAUAUUGAAGGUCAUCUCCGCAGACCCAGAAGCAAUGACCAGCCAUAAAGCACAGGCCAGUCGACAUAUUCUUUAGUGUCUCCAGACCAAAUCCAUAUGUAUAGUCCAACCCAGGAAAAUCAAAUUAAAAAAAUCUAACUCUGCCUUUGACCAACGCUUUAAAGGGGUCAUUAACUGAGAAAUCAAAAUUCCCAUGAUCUUUUGACAUAUAGUAGGUCAUUGUGCUAUAAAAAAACAUUCUGUAAGUUUCAGAACUCACUUUACUUCCUCGUUAGUCUAAAAACAGCUUAUAUUGAAGCCAAUCUGCCAAAACAACAGUUUUUGGAAUGUGCCACUUUAUGACGUAAUAAUGUGGCUAAACACCACCUCCACAGAAGAAGAUCAACGCCUGCUUGUACAGCACUGCCUGUUUAGCCCCACCUACUGAUUCGCGCACAUAGUAGGUAAAUGACAAAAGCUACAAAUGCAAUUCUACACAGAAACGAAAUGAUAAACUUCAUUUGAUGAACUUCAUUUUUUAAGGAAGUGCCAGACCACAUCAAUAAGUACUUGGUCCUUUGUUCACUUCAUUUUACCCCAGAUUCGUUUAAAAUUCACAAUUCGGCACAAUUCGACACAGAAUUUUCAAAAAGACUGAAACUAAAAGACUAUGCUGUGUUGAAUAUAUUGGACCACAUAAGUGUGAGUGAGUAACUGUUUUCAUUACAUGAUCAGUAGUGCUUUGUCUGUUAUUAUAGAUAAUUUCAGGGACGUGCAGAGAGUUCCUCAGGGGCAGGGGCUCAAAUGUAAAAUAGGGGCAAUGUAAAAAAAAA